rnacentral:sRNA from 1 species
AGGGCUCCCUUUGCAGACCUUGGGGCCAGGAGGUGAAGGUGGAGUGCAUCCUCAGUGUUCUUGUCUCCUUCUUUUGUUACCAUUCUCUGAUUGUGAUGCCCUUGCUUCCUGGAUAUGUCCAGUUCUACCAUGCUUCUCUUUCCCAUGUGUCCUGAUCGCUUGCUUUUUGCCAGGCUUUAUAUCCAGCAUGGAUACACAGAGAGGCCCCAACACAGUCUCAACUCCCCAGGGCCUGCCAGUCUAGAGAGGGAUGCUCAAGGAGGAAAGCCACUCACUGGGUCCUCUCCCUGCAGGAACCACCUAGGGGUGCGGAAUGACCUGACUGGAGUUCUGUAUGGCGAAGACAUUGAGAUUUCAGACACCGAGAGCUUCUCCAACGAUCCCUGUACCAGUGUCAAAAAGCUGAAGCAAAGAAGUCUUCUUGUUGCAACUGAAAGCCCAGGCUCCUGACCCCUAUCCGGUGAUACUCUCUUUAGGAACAGAAAGGGUCAACUAGAAGUUUCCCCAGUUGGGAAUGAUGUGCGGAUCAUCCUUGGCCAGUUUGACCAGAAUAUGGCAGCAAAAGUGUUCUGUUGUGCAUACGAGGAGAACAUGUAUGGUAGUAAAUAUCAGUGGAUCAUCCCGGGCUGGUACGAGCCUUCUUGGUGGGAGCAGGUGCACACGGAAGCCAACUCAUCCCGCUGCCUCCGGAAGAAUCUGCUUGCUGCCAUGGAGGGCUACAUUGGUGUGGAUUUCGAGCCCCUGAGCUCCAAGCAGAUCAAGACCAUCUCAGGAAAGACUCCACAGCAAUAUGAGAGAGAGUACAACAACAAGCGGUCAGGCGUGGGGCCC